rfam:Oryza barthii chromosome 10, whole genome shotgun sequence.
UUUAAGUGCAACCAUAAGUUUCCAUGCCCAAUUUUAACUGUCCGUCUUAUUUGAAAAAAAAUUUAUAAUUAGUAUUUUUAUUGGUAUGAGAUGAUAAAACAUGAAUAGUACUUUAUAUAUCACUUAUGCUUUUAUUUUUUCAAAAAAGUUUCAAAUAAGACGGACGGUCAAACUUGUGCACGAAAAAUCAUGGCUGCACUUAAA